CUGCCAUGGCCUACUGCUGGCAGGAAGGGAAGGAUCAAAUCAUAUUUGUGACCAAAGAAGACCAUGAAACUCCAAGCAAUGCAGAGCUGGUGGCUGACGAUCCCAAUGAUCCAUACAAGGAGCACGGGUUGAUCCUGCCAAAUGGAGACAUUAACUGGUACUGCCCGUGCCUUGGGGUAAUGGCUAGUGGCCCCUGUGGGGAACAGUUCAAGUCAGCCUGUUCCUGCUUCCACUAUAGCACGGAGGAUCUCAAAGGAUCAGACUGUGUAGACCAGUUCUGGCCCAUGCAGGAAUGCAUGCAGAAGUACCUGGACCUCUAUCCCCAAGAUAAGGAGGGGGAGGAGAGGAGGAGGAGGAGGGGGAGGGGGGAGGGGAGGGGGAGGGGGCAGGAGGAGGACAAGGAGGAAGAGGAGGAGGAGAAGGAGAAGCCAGCAAAACGUUUAGAAAAGGCAGCUCUAGCUAAGGCCACCGCAACCAAAGAAUAG